AUUGAACGCUGGCGGCAUGCCUUACACAUGCAAGUCGAACGGCAGCACGGGAGUAAUCCUGGUGGCGAGUGGCGAACGGGUGAGUAAUACAUCGGAACGUGCCCAGUAGUGGGGGAUAGCCCGGCGAAAGCCGGAUUAAUACCGCAUACGACCUACGGGUGAAAGCGGGGGAUCGCAAGACCUCGCGCUAUCGGAGCGGCCGAUGUCAGAUUAGGUUGUUGGUGGGGUAAAGGCCUACCAAGCCGACGAUCUGUAGCUGGUCUGAGAGGACGACCAGCCACACUGGGACUGAGACACGGCCCAGACUCCUACGGGAGGCAGCAGUGGGGAAUUUUGGACAAUGGGGCAACCCUGAUCCAGCCAUGCCGCGUGCGGGAAGAAGGCCUCGGUUGUAA
rnacentral:rRNA from 1 species